rnacentral:lncRNA from 10 species
UCUGCUUCUUUCUCUCCUUCUUCUAGGAUUUCCAUUAUGCAUAUAAUGGUACACUUCACAGUGUCCCACAGGUCUCUUAAGAUGCUAGAGAAGUAUAGCCAAGAAAGAAAAGAGUAAUGAGACUUAUCUCCAUAUCCUCCCAUCGGUUUCUCAACUAGAUCUGAAAAAUGCUACAGGCAGCCAUACGAAGAGCACCGGAAUGCAAAGGGUUGGUUCUCUCUUAAAGACACACAGUCUUGGGGUCGUAUUUUUCAAACUGUAGUUCAUUCAUACAACAGCUUUUUUGAGUAAUUGUUACAGGGUGAAAUGCAAAAACAAAUAACACGGAAGUCCCUACCAUUAAGAGGCUUACUGACAGACUUGAAAAUAGGAAUUGUCACUAUUUUAAAAUACCAUGCUAGGAAAUGGAGAAUGUUUCCUAAUGGCUAUGAGGUUUUUUAGAGGGGAAGGGGUGACAAAAAUAUUCUAAAAAUAGACCAUGUUACACAUGAUCAAAACUCUGUGAAUAUACUAAAAACCAUUCAAUUGUCCAAUUUAAAUGGGUGAACUAUAUAUCAAUUACAUCUCAGUAAAGCCAUUUGAAAUAAAUGUGACAUACCAGGAAUCUGCACAGAGCUUUGUGGGGGCACUGAAGAUAACCAUGGCCAUCCUUUGCAGGGUGGAGGUAGGAAGAAGUAGGAUAGGAACAUCUCAAUACAAAAGUCAGACUCAGACAUUCAAGCGUAACCCCUCCACAUGUGUGUCGAAACACAUCUGAAACUCAGCAUGGCCAAAGCCAAACAACUAAUCUCUCCUCCAGACUCACUCCAUGUGCAGGUUCCCCAUCUCAACAACUGUGAUUUCAUCAUUCCAAUUGCUUAGGACAAUGUCAUUGGAGUCAUUCUUGACUUUGAUCUUUCUUCCACAGCCCACACCUAACCCAUCAGCAAAUCCUGGUGACUCUCUCCUUAAUAUAACUCCUAUCUCCACUGCCACCCUGCACUUGGACGGCUAUGACACCUUUCUCACUGGUCUUGCUACGUUCAACUUGUCUUCUGAAGUCUAUUCUUGAUACAGCAGCCCAAGUGAUACCUUCAAACUGCCAGUCAGAUGGUGGUACUCCUCAGAAUGCUGAGAAGUUUCCACCUAGUCUAAGCAGAAGUCCUUCUGACCUGGCCCACCACAGGGCUGGUCUCACGUGUAUCUCCUGGAGGCCACCCACUCAUGGUGUGUCUGCAAUUCCCGCCUUCCUUCUACUCCUUUCAGUUAGUGAUAUUUGUGACUCUGCAAUCGUAUCACUGGUGGGACCUCAUUAACUCAUGAAUUGGGUGACUUUGCAAGAAAAAGAAACUUUUCAAGAGAUAUAUUACCAUUUCUCAAAGAACAGGCUACAAGAAGACUUUGAGAUGAGCUGAAGCAACCUAUAUCUGGAAAUGAAUCACUGCAGCCAGAAGAGGUCAAAAAUGACAAAACAGAAGCCUGGGAGCUGCCUGCCUGGCCCAAGGUCACAAAGUUCUUUAGGGGCUGGGUCAAGUGUGCUGGGGGAUUAAUUACCAUUCUUUGCACUGUACCAUUGCUUUUUGAGAAUGUGCAACUCCCUUUUUCUAAUCCUGGCAGCAACUUCCUGAGCUGUGCCUUGGUUAGUUAGGGUACAAAGAGAAUCAAAACAUUAUACAGAGAGAAUAAACAGAUGGGUAUGUCCUGUUUAUUCUGCCCUAUUGCUUAUCCUGCAUGGCUCAUGGUUCCCUGAGCACACUCUGCCCCCUCCUCUCCUCUCCCUCAGCCUGCUUCUGGCCCCCAGUUACCCCUCUCAUUGCCACUGUCACUGGCAUGUUCACCCUGAGUUCUACAUACAAAUCAAACAUAGUGCAUGAAGUUUUUGCUAGAUAUAAAACCAGAAAUUUUUGGAAUCUUCCUAUGAGAUUAUUAUUUUCAAUGUUAUUAAUACAUUGGUUAAUUGGAUACCUUAUUUGAGAACUUCAACUUGAAUGGAGAGUAUUUGUUGUACAGUUUGUGCUUCCAUUUUUUAGGUGCAGAAAUCCAGCCUUCCUUGGUCAUCCAAGAGAUACAAUUGAAGGCUCAUGCUGUCCAAUCCCCCCCUCUCCAAAGUGGUAGAGCUGAGGGCUUGUCUGUUCCUUCAUAUGCAGAGGAUGAUCCUGAUUUUUGGGAGGAGAAUGCACUAGAUCAUCAUGGAUAAAUCAAGCUUCAUUGAUAAAGGAAACACCCUCCUGUUAAUGCUUAUUAUGUGGCGUUUCAAUCCUUUUUGUAUCCAGAUUAAUCAAGGUUCAGCUCUGGAAGUUGCUGAUAAGAUUAGAACGAGGGAGUUCCGUGUUUGCAAAAGUUUUGCAGAUGGAUCUGAGAUAUGCUAAUGUUCCAGUCCUCUCAGGGACGCUUCCUACCUGUGGAAGUGGGUAAGCCCCUGGGAUCAGAGCUCUUUUCCUAGCAACACUGCAGAUGCCGAGAGGCUGACACUUUGUCUUCUCCUCCUAGGUUUCUGGGACUCCAUUCUCCUGUUAGGAGGACAGGACAGUGACUUUAGACAUGAUGCAAAACCUCAGAACAAUGACGGCAUUCCAGGCUCCAGAGAGCCUUUCACAGCCUGGCUAGCUGUGGCAUUCUGUGCUUUCCUGAGGAUAUGCCCUGUUCACCACAAUCUGACUUCAGAAAAUCUCAUCUCCUCCCCAAUGCAUUUGCAAACUGCCUCCCAGGAGUGCCCUGGGGACAGAAGCACUCACUAUUCUGUGAUCUUUCUCAGUAGCAGAAAGAUUCUCAGGACCCUUUUAUUCUAAGUAGCAUAAAUCCCAUUCAAACUGGCUUAAGCAAAAUACAAACAAAAGUUAUACUGCAAGCUCAGGUGUAGACUUCAGGAACAGCUCCAUCCAGGAACUAAACACUAUCAAGUGUGUGUGCAGUCUGUCUCUCUCCAAACCAUAGUUUUGCCAACUUGCAUUUUGGCUUUAUUUCAGGCUCUAGUUGGACUCAUCUGACAGAAAGAGCAGUCCUCUCCUAUGUCUAAGAUUGGUUUUAGUGAAUGAACUUGGAUCCCUAUGUCAGAAAGAGCAAGCAUGCUGAUUGCUGAUACAAAGGAAAGGUAAAUUCUCCAAUAGACACUUACAUCAACUUAAUUUUCAGGACGACCCUUCUGGACCCUUUCUAUUGUCGUCUUGGUGUCUGCAUCACUGAUGCCCCUUCACUCGUGCUGGGCUUCAUGCCUUUGCUGUGUUGUUAUCUGUUAGCUGUGAGCUCUGAUCUCAACAUGACCUUGGCUACACUCUUCAGGUUUCUUGAGGCUCUGCCUUCAUAGCUUUAUGUUAUCCCAGGUUCCUGCCAAUCUCACAAGCCUGGUUACUGAUGGGUCAGAGUAGCCAUAAUAACUCUCAUUGUACUGAUCCUGCAAGGAUCUCAGCCACCGUAAAGGGUCCAGGUUCCUGGGGGUGUCGCCCUUGGUGUCUGGGACACUGCCUCAUCACUGUCAUGUCUUAGAUGCAUCUGUCACCAUCCCCCGAGCAUCUCGAUUGCCUCCAGCCACCAACUGGCUCCACCUCUUUGGCAGGUCACCUGCUAUUGCCUACUGGAUGGAGUGGUCUUUUUUAAUAAACUUUUUAUUCCGGAACAGAUUUAGAUUAAAAAGUCACAAAUUUAGUAAAUAAAAUUUAUGAAAAUAGUGAAGAGAGUUUCCAUGUAACCCAUACCCAGUUUCCCCUAUCAUUAAUGUCUUACAUGUGUAUGGCACAUCUGUUAUAAUUAAUGAACCAAUAUUGAUAAAUUACUCAGGUUCCCUUGGUUUUUGCCUAAUGUUCUUCUCCUGUGCCAGGAUACCAAGGACAUUUAGUUGUCAUAUCUCUUUUGGCAGUUCUUGGCUGUCAGGAUUUUUCUGGUUUUUGACAACUUUGACAGUUUUGAGGAGGACUGGUCAAGUAUUUUGUAGAAUGUCUCCAAAAUAGGGUUUGUCUGAUGGUUUUCUCAUGAUUAGACUGAAAUAUGGGUUUGGGGAGGAAGCCCACAGCGGUGAAGGGCCUCACAUCACAUAAAUGGUACACAUUGUCAGUGUGACUCAUCACUAUGGGUGUUGGCCUUGACCACCGGGAGGAGGUCCUGUUAGUUUUUCCACCAUAGAGUGCCUCUCCCUUCCCAUUUUCCAUGCUGUGCUCUGUGGAUGGAAGCUGCUCUGUGUGCCCCAACGUGAGGAGUGAGGAGUUUGCUCCACCUCCUGAGGCGAUCAUUAACAUCACACACACAUGUACACCUGGCCCCCAGACCCCAGGGCUAUGGAUUCCUCACGUCCCUGUCACUCCAUGAGGUGCAAUGACUAAUUGUAGAAGGUGUUCAGUAAGCAUUUGUGGAUGGGACUGAACAGUUGCAUUGCCUGGGGAAUCUUUGCUCCCCAGGUUGGCUGACACCCAAAGGUGAGCCGUGUCCCUGGAUGUCCUUGAAUGCCCCACGUCAAAGCUGGCUAUGGAACAGCCAGAGAGUGCUCAUGAGCAUCCUUGGCACCAGAGUGGACAAUCAGACCUCAGAGAAUGUGCGCUUCCCAGCUAAAUUCCGCAGUAUCUUUUGCUUCCCCCA